AGUGAACGCUGGCGGUAGGCCUAACACAUGCAAGUCGAACGGCAGCACAGGAGAGCUUGCUCUCUGGGUGGCGAGUGGCGGACGGGUGAGGAAUACAUCGGAAUCUACUCUGUCGUGGGGGAUAACGUAGGGAAACUUACGCUAAUACCGCAUACGACCUACGGGUGAAAGCAGGGGAUCUUCGGACCUUGCGCGAUUGAAUGAGCCGACGUCGGAUUAGCUAGUUGGCGGGGUAAAGGCCCACCAAGGCGACGAUCCGUAGCUGGUCUGAGAGGAUGAUCAGCCACACUGGAACUGAGACACGGUCCAGGCUCCUACGGGAGGCAGCAGUGGGGAAUAUUGGACAAUGGGCGCAAGCCUGAUCCAGCCAUACCGCGUGGGUGAAGAAGGCCUUCGGGUUGUAAAGCCCUUUUGUUGGGAAAGAAAUCCAGCUGGCUAAUACCCGGUUGGGAUGACGGUACCCAAAGAAUAAGCACCGGCUAACUUCGUGCCAGCAGCCGCGGUAA
rnacentral:rRNA from 1 species